AUUGAACGCUGGCGGCAGGCCUAAUACAUGCAAGUCGAGCGGAUGAAGGGAGCUUGCUCCUGGACUUAGCGGCGGACGGGUGAGUAUUGCCUAUGAAUCUGCUUGGCAGUGCAGGAGAACGUCCGCACACAGGCGCUAAUACCGCAUCCGACCUGCGGGAGAAAGCGGCGGAUCUUCGGACCUCCCCCUAUCAGCUGAGCCUAGGUCGGAGUAGCUAGUUGGUGGGGUAAAGGCCUACCACGGCGACGAUCCGUAACUAGACUGAGAGGAUGAUCAGGCACCCUGAGACUGAGACAGGGUCCAGACUCCUACGGGAGGCAGCGGUAGGGAAAGUUGGUCAAGGGCCAAAAGCCUGAUCCAGCCAUGGCGCGUCUGCGAAGAGGGUCUUCGGAUUGUAAGGCGCUUUAAGUUGGGAGGAAGGGCUAUAAGUUAAGACCGUGCUGUAUUGACGGUAACAACAGAAUAAGCACCGGCUAACUUCGUG
rnacentral:rRNA from 1 species